UCCGUAGGUGAACCUGCGGAAGGAUCAUUAAUGAAUUCGGGCGCUCGACUCUGAAAUAUUGAGAUCGGCCCCAUUUCUUAAUCCACUUCACACUUGUGCACAUUUUUCCUACUUUCCUUCGGGAGAGUUUGAAAAGCUCUUGUGAUUUUAAUCAAGUCCAGGAUGUGAAUCCAAUUUGAAUAAGUUGUAAAACAACUACAAACGGUGGAUCUCUUGGCUCUCGUAUCGAUGAAGAACGCAGCGAAACGCGAAAUGUAAUGUGAAUUGCAGAAUUCAGUGAAUCAUCGAAUCUUUGAACGCAUCUUGCACUCUCGAAUCACUAUCGAGAGUAUGCCUGUUUGAGUGUCGCGAAACUCUCAACCCCGCCUCAUGCUUUAUUGCGUGUGGGUAGCUUGGGCUUGGAUCAUGAUCUUUGCAGUAAUGCGCUAGCAGAACUGCUGGAUUGAAAUACAACAAGCUGAAUCUAUAUACUUGCGGCUUGACCUGUCGUUGUAAGCACACAAAUGCAUUCGAUGGGGACGCGAGAAAAUGGAAUGAGCUUUCCAAAUGUGUUACACUUUGCAGCUUCUAUUAACUUAGAGCUCUUAGUGCAUUCUGACCUCAAAUCAGGUAGGAUUACCCGCUGAACUUAAGCAUAUCAAUAAGCGGAGGAAA
rnacentral:rRNA from 1 species